rnacentral:rRNA from 1 species
CUUUGAUUUCUUCGGGAUGAAGAGCUUAGUGACUGAGCGGCGGACGGGUGAGUAACGCGUGGGUAACCUGCCUCAUACAGGGGGAUAACAGUUAGAAAUAGCUGCUAAUACCGCAUAAGCGCACGGUUCCGCAUGGUGCAGGGGUAAAAACUCCGGUGGUAUGAGAUGGACCCGCGUCUGAUUAGGUAGUUGGUGAGGUAACGGCCCACCAAGGCGACGAUCGGUAGCCGGCCUGAGAGGGUGAACGGCCACAUUGGGACUGAGACACGGCCCAAACUCC